rnacentral:rRNA from 1 species
GACGAACGCUGGCGGCGUGCCUAAUACAUGCAAGUAGAACGCACAGUUUAUACCGUAGCUUGCUACACCAUAGACUGUGAGUUGCGAACGGGUGAGUAACGCGUAGGUAACCUGCCUGGUAGCGGGGGAUAACUAUUGGAAACGAUAGCUAAUACCGCAUAAUAUUAAUUAUUGCAUGAUAAUUAAUUGAAAGGUGCAAUUGCACCACUACCAGAUGGACCUGCGUUGUAUUAGCUAGUAGGUGAGGUAACGGCUCACCUAGGCGACGAUACAUAGCCGACCUGAGAGGGUGAUCGGCCACACUGGGAUUGAGACACGGCCCAGACUCCUACGGGAGGCAGCAGUAGGGAAUCUUCGGCAAUGGACGAAAGUCUGACCGAGCAACGCCGCGUGAGUGAAGAAGGUUUUCGGAUCGUAAAGCUCUGUUGUAAGAGAAGAACGGGUGUGAGAGUGAA